UACGAAGGGGGCUAGCGUUGCUCGGAAUCACUGGGCGUAAAGGGUGCGUAGGCGGGUCUUUUAAGUCAGAGGUGAAAUCCUGGAGCUCAACUCCAGAACUGCCUUUGAUACUGAGGAUCUUGAGUUCGGGAGAGGUGAGUGGAACUGCGAGUGUAGAGGUGGAAUUCGUAGAUAUUCGCAAGAACACCAGUGGCGAAGGCGGCUCACUGGCCCGAUACUGACGCUGAGGCACGAAAGCGUGGGGAGCAAACAGGG
rnacentral:rRNA from 1 species